rnacentral:rRNA from 1 species
GUUGUCCGGAAUUAUUGGGCGUAAAGAGCUCGUAGGCGGCUUGUUGCGUCGACUGUGAAAAACCACGACUCAACCGUGGGACUGCAGUCGAUACGGGCAGGCUAGAGUUCGGUAGGGGAGACUGGAAUUCCUGGUGUAGCGGUGAAAUGCGCAGAUAUCAGGAGGAACACCGGUGGCGAAGGCGGGUCUCUGGGCCGAUACUGACGCUGAGGAGCGAAAGCGUGGGGAGCGAACAGG